AUAACACCAAUGAUAUGCAGAAGAUGACGAGAACCCACCAUUGUUUUUCUCUUUGAGACCGAGCGGCUGUACUUCCAUCCAAAAAGUUUGCGAGAAAAUCUCACGUUUGAGUCUGACGCCUAGUGUAUCUAAUUAAGAUAGAUUUCCUAGUGAAAGGCGGCGUUUCUAUCAAUGACCAUGUGUAUACCGUGACCUUGUGAACAUGGUUCUCACUUCUCAGUCCACAGUCCCUUUGCGAGCCUAGGCAAAGAAUAGGACAGCGAAAGCCAUCAAGAAAAAAACCGCAGCCUACGGAGCUAAACAUGGAAGGGUUUAAUUAAUCUAGCUGUGCCUAUACAUGCUGACUGUAUCAACGUGUUCCUCCCUGUGGCUGGAAAGAGAGAAGAAAGACGUUUAGUGCAUUCAACGGUAGCAGUAGCGGCAGCAUCGUUGUCGGCAUGGCCACCCGAUCGUCGCGAUCAAGCGAACUGUGAAAUCGUGGCCGGGAGGGAUCGAAGCCUUCAAGUCGCACCAAAUAUGUGGAGCGACAAGGCAACAUCGGCCGACAUCAGAGAACGGAUUAAUGAAUCAUCAAACCCACCGCGUAAUACGGUUGGUUCGGAUUGCCGUCGGUGUGAGUGAGUGAGUGACUGUGCCAUCUUGGUCUUCGGUGUCUCUUUCUCUACUCUACUACGUGGUUUCGCUGGCAUGAGCAGUAGAUCAUCGCCGAUCAAAGGUUUGGCAAGAAAUUCGGCCAACACCCAAAAAAAAUUUCCAGCCCUUCCUCGGCGAAAAA
rnacentral:lncRNA from 1 species